UUAUAAUAUUUUAGUACGAAAGGACCAAAUAUUAAAAUAACUAUAUUUUUAAAAAAGAAUAUUAUUAAUAUA
rnacentral:rRNA from 2 species